CCUACGGGUGGCAGCAGUGAGGAAUAUUGGUCAAUGGGCGAGAGCCUGAACCAGCCAAGUCGCGUGAAGGAUGACGGCCCUACGGGUUGUAAACUUCUUUUGUCAGGGAGCAAUUGGGUCCACGCGUGGGCUUAGCGAGAGUACCUGAAGAAAAAGCAUCGGCUAACUCCGUGCCAGCAGCCGCGGUCAUACGGGGGUUGCGAGCGUUAUCCGGAUUCAUUGGGUUUAAGGGGUGCGUAGGCGGAAUGUCAAGUAAGCGGUAAAAAUUCGGGGCUCAACCCCGUCGUGCCGUUGAAACUGAUGGUCUUGAGUGGGCGAGAAGUAUGCGGAAUGCGUGGUGUAGCGGUGAAAUGCAUAGAUAUCACGCAGAACACCGAUUGCGAAGGCAGCAUACCGGCGCCCAACUGACGCUGAAGCACGAAAGCGUGGGUAGCGAACAGGAUUAGAUACCCUGGUAGUC
rnacentral:rRNA from 1 species